GCUGGAUCCUGUCACGGUUCAGGAAUUCACAGGAGGAAGAACUGAAUGGAGCUUUCAUGGGACAAGGGACCGGCGCUUCUGAGGAUGUAGGAGGUGAGUUGCCAAAAAGAAGAAACCGGCAUGAAAUCUGUAGAGACUGGCCUUUGUCUGUUAGCACUGAAGUGUCUACGAUUGUGUUCGUACAGACAAGAUACUGUCAUAAAGCUAAAAUAAGAAUACGCUGAAGCCCAACCUUAUCUGAAGGUGGACGUGGAUUUUCACUUGGACUAGUUUCUCACGAGAAUUGCAUCUCUUCUG